rnacentral:pre_miRNA from 1 species
AGUGGGAUAGCUGGGUCAAAUGGCCUAGUUCCAUUCCAAGUUUUCUAAGGAAUCUCCAUACUGCUUUCCAGAUUGGUUGCACCAAUUUGCAGUCCCACCAGCAAU